rnacentral:rRNA from 1 species
AGUGAACGCUGGCGGUAGGCCUAACACAUGCAAGUCGAACGGCAGCACAGUAAGAGCUUGCUCUUACGGGUGGCGAGUGGCGGACGGGUGAGGAAUACAUCGGAAUCUACUUUUUCGUGGGGGAUAACGUAGGGAAACUUACGCUAAUACCGCAUACGACCUACGGGUGAAAGCAGGGGAUCUUCGGACCUUGCGCGAUUGAAUGAGCCGAUGUCGGAUUAGCUAGUUGGCGGGGUAAAGGCCCACCAAGGCGACGAUCCGUAGCUGGUCUGAGAGGAUGAUCAGCCACACUGGAACUGAGACACGGUCCAGACUCCUACGGGAGGCAGCAGUGGGGAAUAUUGGACAAUGGGCGCAAGCCUGAUCCAGCCAUACCGCGUGGGUGAAGAAGGCCUUCGGGUUGUAAAGCCCUUUUGUUGGGAAAGAAAAGCAGUAGGUUAAUACCCCGCUGUUCUGACGGUACCCAAAGAAUAAGCACCGGCUAACUUCAUG